rnacentral:rRNA from 1 species
ACCCGCUGAACUUAAGCAUAUCAAUAAGCGGAGGAAAAGAAACUAACAAGGAUUCCCCUAGUAACUGCGAGUGAAGCGGGAAGAGCUCAAAUUUGUAAUCUGGCGUAAGCCCGAGUUGUAAUCUAGAGAAGCGUUAUCAGGCCUUUCGCGCGCUAAAGUCCCUUGGAACAGGGUGUCAUAGAGGGUGAGAAUCCCGUGCUUGGUGCGAUUGAAAGGCUGUAGAGGCGCUCUCGACGAGUCGAGUUGUUUGGGAAUGCAGCUCAAAACGGGUGGUAAACUCCAUCUAAAGCUAAAUAGUGGCGAGAGACCGAUAGCGAACAAGUACCGUGAGGGAAAGAUGAAAAGAACUUUGGAAAGAGAGUUAAACAGUACGUGAAAUUGCUGAAAGGGAAGCGCUUGGAGUGAGUCUCGCGGCCAGGAAUCAGCUUGCGUAUUUCCUGGUUGUGGGCCAGCAUCGACUUCGGGCGACGGAGAAGACAGAGGGAAUGUGGCAUCUUCGGGUGUGUUAUAGCCCUGUGUCGUACACGUCGCGCGGGGUCGAGGACCGCGGCUCUGCCUAGGAUG